UACGAAGGGGGCUAGCGUUGUUCGGAAUCACUGGGCGUAAAGGGUGCGUAGGCGGGUUUUUAAGUCAGGGGUGAAAGCCCAGAGCUCAACUCUGGAAUGGCCUUUGAGACUAGAGAACUAGGGUACGGGAGAGGUGAGUGGAAUUCCGAGUGUAGAGGUGAAAUUCGUAGAUAUUCGGAAGAACACCAGUGGCGAAGGCGGCUCACUGGCCCGUUACCGACGCUCAGGCGCGACAGCGUGGGGAGCAAACAGG
rnacentral:rRNA from 1 species